GUGGGGCCUACAACCUUUUCCAACUUAACACAUCUUUAUACGUGGACCCACAACCUUUUUCAACUUCCCAUAAAAAGUAAUAAACUCAUCUUAACAUCCAAACACACUUUAAACUCAGUUUAGAUGGGUCCCACAUAACUCCCUCCACUACCCAACUCCCUAUUAUUCAUAAAGAACUAAGCUCAGCUGAUCUCAGCUCAACAUCCAAAUGCAGCCAAACCUCUAAAAUAUACAUGGUAAGCC